rnacentral:lncRNA from 1 species
CCACCUGAUGGGGGAAAUACUUCUGUGUAUGUUUAUAAAUAAAGUACUUGCUUGGCCAAUGAGACAGCAGGUUAGGCUGGACUAGGAGUCAAAGAGGAUUCUGGGAAAUGUAGUAGAGAAGUGGUGUUCCAGACAGGAAGUGACAUAGCAAGGAGACUCAUAUUUAAGAAGAGGAAAAAGGAAGUGUUGCUCUCUUUCCCCUCGGCUCCUGCUCCAGCGGCAAGAUGUGAUCCACCAGCUAGGAGGGGCGCCAAUAAGGCGUCCGAUAAGAUAAGUCUUAUAAAAUAUAUAGAUGUAUGAUGAUUGAUACUGAGCUAACAGAUGAGAAUCCUAGUCAUUGGCCAAGCAGCAUUGUAACUAAUACAAGUCUCUCUGUGUAUUCAUUUGGGCCUAACUUGGGCAGGCGGCUGCCAUAAAGCUUACACGUGGCGGUGGGGCUCAGCGGCUUUUGGCAGAAAGAUUUAUCGUAACAACCACCAGUUUGCUAGACCAGCAUAAUUCCUUACUGCAAUCUAAAUCUUGUCCUUAUACCACAGAUAGUGUGGACUCACCCCCCCCCCAUCAAUGAAGCUUCUCUUUGCACCAAAUGCAGACCAUCACAGAAAACCAAAACUGAACACAACACAGAGAUUAAUGGAUCAUGGGAACCCAGCCCAGUGAAUACAUAGACAUCACAGCUCCCACAUUUAUGACUCAGGGAACACCAUGAAAGAGCGGUCAGAAAGAUUAUAAAAGCCAGAAUACCAGGGAGUCUUUUGUGGGACAGUCUCUCAAAGAAAUGGCUGCAUAAACAAGACCUGCACCAAGGCAGUGUAAUAGACAUGCUAACACUAUAAGAGGAAAAUCUCAUGGGGUCACACCCUUGACAAGGAACUAUAACCAACCAGUUACUGCUGAGAGAUAAAGAGUUAGACCCUCCCAGGCAUGUGGCCCCUAAUUAGUUGUCCAAUACAAAAAAAAAUGUUGAGUUCUAAAACCAUGUACACACAAACAACAAAAACGGAGUCAGCAGAUUUUAUUUGUGUGUGUGUGUAUGUGUGUAAAACAAUAGUAAUCAAUUUGAUGGGAGAGGAGUCAUAGAGAGGGUUGGAGAGAGGGUACAGGGAAGGGGCUAGAGGGAGGAAGUGAAGGGAGAAGGUGAUAUAAUUCUAUUUUAAUUAAAAAUGUAUAAAAUGCUUUAGAAAUAAUUUUUAAGAGAAAGGUUAGACCACAAUUCUAGGAUAAAAUGUAACAGUCCUAGCGUGUCAUCAAGGAGGCAUGGGAGGUGGUAGGCUUCAUACUGGGAGAGUGGAUAGCAAUGCAUCUUUGCAGAUUUUCUCAUUUUAAUAAGGGUCGGGUGAACACUGUGGGAAGGAGGUUUCAUGCCAGUAAGGAACAGAACGGGAAUCUUCAAGUAAAGAACAUAAAUCUAGUUCAGAAGAAUAUUGUGAUCAGUUCUCCCACACAGCAACAGAACCUUUCUCUCUGCUGCCCUACCUACCAGAAUUGAUACUAGAGCACAGGAGAAAUGUGGCAUAGCAGCCUCCAUGCUGGGAACAUUUCUCCCUGGGAACGAUGGCCAUGCUUCCAGGAUGUGCACUUAGACUCACUGUUACCUCUGAAGUGCCUCUGGACAACUGUUCAUACCUGUUCUUCUGUCCCUCUUUUGGCUUCUGAGAAUGUCCUCCCAGCUGUCUUUUCUGAAGAUCUGGCCCCCAUCCCAACCCCUGAAAACUUUGUCAGGCACCUUCUUCUUCACAGUGUCUCUUCUGGACCUCCCAUUUAUUUUGCUUGGUUCUCUUAUUUUCAUGACAUUGGAUUUCUGUCUCACAGGUCACAUUUAACUGCACACCAGAAAUAAAUAUAACCAGUAUCUACUUACUCUAGACAUGAACUCACCCUAAGGCCUAUGACUUUCAAAUCUUUGUACACAUCUAUAAGUGUAUGCAAUAUAGGUGCUCAAAAAUAUCUUUACCGUGAGUAAUUCAAAACACAGAGCUGAAAGACAUAGAGCAUUCUAUCUGUGUACAAAUAGCCACAAUGAUAAAGGACACAGCCAUCUGUUUGGGUUUUUUUCCCUUUGUUUUUUUUUUUUUUUUCCUUUUUUGGAACACUGCCUUCAUUCACUUUCAGUACCACAACAGAGGCUUAAGAAAGUUACUGAACCAUGACCCAACUGCUAGACUUCCAGAUGACCUACAUUUUAAACUUAAGACCAGUGAACCAAUUCACAAAUUGGAUUGGCAAAACAGUAUUAAAACAUGACCCAGGAGGCAAGCCUCCUUGGAAGAAAAUUUUCUUAGUGCAUUUGGGAUUAUUAGUCUCAUGGCUGCAUCAGGAGAUCCUUUUACCAAGGAAUUAAAGAGGCCAUUUUCAAAGAAAGCAAGUGCACCCCCAUCCCCAGAGACUGCUCUGCACCUCUGUCACUCUGUCCAUGAGGUCUUCCCUUGAACACUGUCUCAUACUGCACACAGCCAGCUACCUCCAAUGCCUGCUUCUCCUCCUGCAGCUCCCACCUUUUAAAAUUGCUGGAUAGUUUUCUAAUGCCUUCUAUCUUGUGCUCAUUAAUUAGAUCUAUUUGCCAUAUUCUUGCUAGUAUAUAAACUCAACAGUUCAUAUGAAGCACGACUGCACACAAAGAAUCUACACAGUACCCUACAACAGUGGGCCCUCAAUAAAUACUUUUGAAAAUGUAAGUCAGUGAUUUAAAAUGUUUCCUUCAGGAGUAUCUCUGUGCUAGUGAAAUUGUGAAGAGCCUUAAAUGGAGCUUGUAAGGGUAUAAGCUAGGAAAAUUAAAAAGAGUUAAGCUUGCCCCUCCCAACAGCUACAGUUUAGAUAGAAUCUCAGAUAAAGAAUGGGGAAAAGCAAACAACAGGGAAACCUCAUGGGGUGGACCUGUGAGUAAAGCACUUGCUGCACAAAGAUGAGGGCCUAGACUUGCAUCUCCAGAAUCCACAUAAAGCCAGUCACUGCAGUGCCCUGGUAUGAACUUCUUCCUGAGAUGACCAGUGAGGACCAUGUGCUGGCUUUUUGACACAGCAUCUUUGCUGGCCCUGUCAGGAGUGAGUUUCUAUCAGUCACGUUCACUGAAACAUAAACAGGGAGAAGAACAAUUUCAUCUUACUAACCCUGAUGACUUUCCUAAUUUCUGAGCACUUCUGGAUGAGGCUUCUGUCUCGAAACUUCCACCCUGAGGGAUAGCAGGAUGAAGAGUGGAAAGGGCUGGAGACCUUCUCGUUCAUUACAUUCAUUCCAGAAGUAGAGGAACAGCACCUUGGACAUAAGCAUCCGAAAAUCAGUGUGGCUUUCUCUUCUGCCAUCUGUGAGUGCUUCAGCUACGGGGAGACAACAGAGAUCCUGGAGCUUAUUUCAGUCAAUUUGUCUCUAAGCAUCCAAAGACCUUCUCAGGGUCUAGCAGAAGUGAGAGUGGGUGGAAAGGUGUUAAGACAUGGUGUGGACUCUGAUCUUGAGUUUUCUUUCCAAAGAAAAGCAUGUUUUUAAAAGCUUCCCUACCUUCUCAACAGUUUCAAAAGUCAUGUGUCUUGACACUCCCACCGAGAAAAAUUCAUUGUUGUGCCUAGGGCACCAGCGGGGAAUCAAACCAUUCUCUGUUGUCAUGGACUAAGAGACUCAACAUACAGAGUGUUUUCUCUGAAGUAAACAAAUACCAGGAAAUGUGGAAGCUAGACUUCUUGUUGCUGUGACUCAAUAUCUGAGGGUAAAAAAGUAGGAAAGAUUAAUCUGGACUCACUGUUUGAAAGUAUCAGUCUGUGGUUGGAUGACUGUGCCAUCUCUGUGCCCGGGUAAGGCAGAACGUCAUAAAAAUUUGUAGAGGACAAGGUUGCCCACCUAAUGGUGACUGGAAGCAGAGAAAAGAGGAAGGAGCCCAGAAGCUACAUCCUUCAAAGCUAUGCCAAGAUCCUGGGUUUUCGUUCAGCUGAGGGAUCUGUUAAUAAGACACCACACCUUCUUCUCUGUUAACCGCCUUAUCCCUACCAGAUGAAGCCAGUGCGCAUCCAUGACUUCAAGUCCCAGCAACACUGGGGGCUGAGGGUGGGGCAGCAAUGGAGGCUGCGCACCAGUCACCCACCACCCAAGGCUGCAGCUGAACCGAUCGUCAUCCUUGUCCUCAGCGUCACAUCGCAUGGGCACUUCUGCCUUUCCAGGUUACCCUCCUAAACGACAAGAAUCGCUUCCUCAAAUGAGCAAUCUGCCUCAUCUCUAAGGUCUUCCUGCGCUUUGGUGGGUCUUUUACUUCAGAAGAAGACUGACUCACUUUACUGGGUCUGCUUCGAACAAGCACCUCUGACUGAGUUGACCUGGACCGGCUUGAUGCCUACUAUGCCAAGUCAUCUUCUGCAGGACAAAGGAUGAAACUCCAGAGCAAAGGAUCUCAUUUGCCUCACGAUGCCUACUUGCUGCAGAGCUGGACUCUGAAGCCUGACUGACUGAAUUAGUCUAAAGUCAGAACCUUGGGCGUGCUGCUCACGCACACUCAGAUGAGCUCUAUUUCAAAAGCUUUAGCAUACAGACACCUGAGCCAACUGUACAGUACUUGCAUAAUCCCAUAAGUUAAUUUUCUCAGUACCAGUUAUUGGUCAACUCAGAAAUGAUACAUCAAUAACGUUACAUAAACAAAUGUCCUUCAGCAUGCUGAGAACCCCAUUAACAUCUAACAGGCAGCUCCAGCCCUGUAUGAUUUAGCUCCCCUACCACAGUGCAUAUCACCCAUAAAACAGUCCUAGUCACAAGCAUAUUUCAAAUCCCAAACGUUUUGGGAGAUAUUUCAUAGUAUAAUUACAGCAGAAGAAAUAACGGCAUGUGUGAUGGAAAUUCACAAGUAAUAAGAUGUGUAUAUCUUUCUGUGUUCAUUGGCUUCGUCCUAAUUGGCUGCUUCUAAUACACGUUGCCACAGUCACACUACUUUAAAUACAUUUCCCAGUGUCAAGCCCAUCAUGUGUCUCCUUGUGGCUUUCUCCUUCAUUGAGUUGGAACAUAAUGAACGUUAUUGUGCCUCAGGUUUAUUAAAGAUAAAGGACUUAAUUUUUAUAUAAUAUAGGCUUUUCUCACAAACAGACUGCUUCCCAGAGCUGUGUGUAGUUUUAUGAGCCAGGCACAAUUGCUAGGAACCAUACAAGGUGGAUUAGAUUCAUUAGAGGCAUUAUGUCUGAUUUGAGAUUACAGAGACUCAACAAACACAUGACUGGCUGGGAGUUGAUCUACCUUACCUCCAGGCUGCAUUAUCACAUAAUAAAUGCUUUAUAAUACUUUUAUUCAUUGGCCUAGAAAUUGUAUUAUGAGUUCUAAAUAGCUUUAAUGGUUUUGUUAUUCUUUUCAACUAAAACCACCUACGUCCUAAACUUCGGCUGUCAUCGGGGAUCUUGUUUAAAAGCAGAUUCUGUUUCAGUGGAUACAGAGUGAGGCCUGAGGCUGUGCGUCACUUGCGAAUUCCUAAGUGAUGUCCAGAAAGCACAGA